AAGAAGAUAUCGGUUAGAUAAGGAUGGCAUCGAUCGCCUUAAUCAAGAAUAUGGUGAACGUUUAUCACCUAAAACACUUGGGCCAAAGAAUGUCUCUUCUUUAGAGAAAAUCCUUAUCACCCUACGCUAUUUUGCUCCGGUGAUUUCCAGAUAAAUGAUGGUAACAUUCAUAAUUUGUCACAGCCAUCAGUGUCAAGGGCUGUGACACAGUUCACUGAGAUGCUCGCUAGCAGGGAAACUACAUCAAGAUUUAUAUUGUUCCCUCUAAAUAUGCAUGAUGUCAGCAGGAUAAAGACGGAUUUCCAAGGCAUAGCCAACUUUCCAAAUGUUGUUGGCGUUGUGGAUGGCACUCAAGUGCAGAUGUGCAGGAUGCAUAUGUCAAUAGAAUGGGAUAUCAUUCUAUCAAUACCCAGAGCUCACAUAAUAACAAGAUCAAAAGUCGUAAGGGGAAUAGGCCAACUGAAAAGAAGAUGGGGAGUGCUGCAUGGCGAAAUUCGUUUGAAACCUGAAAAGGCUUGCCACAGCUCUGCUAAUGACAUCACCUCGAGUUGGUCAUUGUCGUGACAGCUGCAGUGACACCUGACAAAGACAAUUCAUUUGUCAUACUUUGACAUAUGUACAAGACUGAGCAAAUAAAUGUACUUUGGGUUAUAGAGUUAAUUUAUUAUCAUUCAAUAAGUUGAGAAGUGUUAAUCUUUUUGAUAGCCUUUGUUGUAAAAAAAUAUUUUGUACAAAGUAACAAUGGUAUUUACUUUUUUUUUUACAAUGAGUUAUUCUUUUGUUUGAUUGAUAGGGGUAGAGUGGGGACGGGUACUGGUAAGACUGGUGUAGAUUUUUGUUUAAACAACCUCCUUCUAAAAUAAAUAUUUUUAUUAUUUAUAAGACCUAAUGGAUGUGUGGUUAAAAUUAUGUAACCACAUUUAUGAAUUCUUUUUAUGUCCCCCACUAUAGUAGUGGGGGACAUAUUGUU